rnacentral:rRNA from 1 species
AUUGAACGCUGGCGGCAGGCCUAACACAUGCAAGUCGAACGGUAACAGGAAGCAGCUUGCUGCUUGCUGACGAGUGGCGGACGGGUGAGUAAUGUCUGGGAAACUGCCUGAUGGAGGGGGAUAACUACUGGAAACGGUAGCUAAUACCGCAUAACGUCGCAAGACCAAAGAGGGGGACCUUCGGGCCUCUUGCCAUCAGAUGUGCCCAGAUGGGAUUAGCUUGUUGGUGGGGUAACGGCUCACCAAGGCGACGAUCCCUAGCUGGUCUGAGAGGAUGACCAGCCACACUGGAACUGAGACACGGUCCAGACUCCUACGGGAGGCAGCAGUGGGGAAUAUUGCACAAUGGGCGCAAGCCUGAUGCAGCCAUGCCGCGUGUAUGAAGAAGGCCUUCGGGUUGUAAAGUACUUUCAGCGGGGAGGAAGGUGUUGUGGUUAAUAACCACAGCAAUUGACGUUACCCGCAGAAGAAGCACCGGCUAACUCCGUGCCAGCAGCCGC